UACGUAGGGUGCAAGCGUUAAUCGGAAUUACUGGGCGUAAAGCGUGCGUAGCCGGUUAUUUAAGUCGGGUGUGAAAGCCCCGGGCUCAACCUGGGAAUUGCAUUCGAGACUGAAUAGCUAGGGUACGGUAGAGGGAAGUGGAAUUUCCGGUGUAGCGGUGAAAUGCGUAGAUAUCGGAAGGAACGCCCGUGGCGAAAGCGAGGUCCUGGACGUCUUCUGACGCUGAGACGCGAAAGCUAGGGGAGCGAACGGG
rnacentral:rRNA from 1 species